rnacentral:rRNA from 1 species
UACGGAGGGGGCUAGCGUUGUUCGGAAUUACUGGGCGUAAAGCGCACGUAGGCGGCUUUGUAAGUUAGAGGUGAAAGCCCAGGGCUUAACCCUGGAAUUGCCUUUAAGACUGCAUCGCUAGAAUCGUGGAGAGGUGAGUGGAAUUCCGAGUGUAGAGGUGAAAUUCGUAGAGAUCUGGAGGAACACCAGUGGCGAAGGCGACUAUCUGGCUGACAACUGACGCUGAGACUCGAAAGCAUGGGGAGCAAACAGG